rnacentral:other from 1 species
UAAUUCCUGAAGUGUUCGACAACCUUACCCAUUUUGAACCUACAUUACUGACUAAGGGAUUCCUAUAUCUGCCGGCAGAUGUCAGGCCUCCAUCGAGUGGAAGGCAGAAACCAGCGUGCGGUUGCCCACCUAGCUUCGCUAGGCGUCAAUAAGUAAGAACGGCACAUUCGGGAUUACA